CAUGUAGAUCUUGCUCAUCUGGAUGAUAUUUUUUCCCCUUUAAAUAUCUUGGAGCUGAUCUUUUGUGUUGCCUUGCAAACUUUACAGGUUUCUUAUUAUUUUAACAAUCCAGAUGUCACAGACAGUGAUUUUCAAGGUUCCUCCUGCCCUGCAGGUAUGUUUUUUUUUUAAUCUCAUACUGCAAUACAUCUUAAGUAGCAGUUGUUGCCAAUGGAAUGAUAUGCAUGACUAGGACCCUAUAAUUAUGAUCAUGAUACCACUAUGUGCAGGAAAAGGGUUUCAGCUCAGGUGAUAUCUUUAUCAAAAGAGUUGUCGCCAAGGCAGGGGACUAUGUCGAAGUUCGUGAUGGAAAAUUGAUGGUGAAUGGAGUAAUCCAAGAUGAAGAUUUCAUUUUAGAGCCACUUGAAUAUGAAAUGGAUCCUGUGGUAAGUUCUCCUUUUGAACUUUGCAAUAUAUAUAACUUAAAACUUGGCAAGAAUUUUCAGAUUGUCUCAACGAUUUA